rnacentral:antisense_RNA from 1 species
UUUGUUGCACUCAAUGAACAAAUCUUUGUUGUUUAUUUUAAAAUUCAAGACAAUUUUUUUGCAAAUGCUGAUUCAAAACGUACCAAGCCCCAUCUAUCAUGCCUAUGCCAAUACAAUCUGUCACAAAAAAGUUUGCUUCUCAUUGUCACAUAGCUGUGGGGACUGGUGGCCUUCUAAAAUCACUGUCCAGCUGCUGCAAGUGUGAGAAGCGGUAAGCUAGAGGAGACAGACGGCGUUGCCAUUAAAAACAAUUCAACUUCAUUUUAAUGUUGCUACGUAAGUUCACAAUAAAAUCCCUGGAAGUUCAAAUUGGAAAGAGCAGUUGGGGUCAUGGGCUCAACAAUAUAAAGGCAGAUUCAGUGAGGGGUAAGGGUAGUGGCUCUGGGGGCAGACUGACCUAGAUUUGAAUGCCAGUUGUACCAGACUCAAGACACCUUGGGUAAGUGGUUUUAUGAAGUACCUCAGUUCUUCAUCAGUAGAACGAGUGCUAACACCUCCAUAAGACUUUU